GCCGGAUGAGGUUCUGAUGAGUUUCCAGUGUGGCUGUAGCAGAAUCUAGGUAUAAUCUAGGUUUAAUCUAAUCCAUCCACUCCAGUCUUGUUAGAAAGGUCACUUCAUACCCCUCAAUUAUAUGGAAGAUUUCGCUGUUUUUUUUGUUUUGUUCACUGUAUAUGUCCAUUAAUUUGUUAUUAACAUAUAAUAUCUGUCAUAAAAUUGGAGAAUUUCCUCACUACAGACAAAUACGAGCGUUUCUGCAUUUCACUGGUAGGUGGGCCAUCUAUAUUUCCUUGUUGUAAGCAAACCACAAUAUCCAGAAUAUAUUCAUAGUGAUUUCAGGACGUAGUACCGCCCCUGUCGAGGUGGAUCCAGUUGACAAUGGGUGUCAACAGGUAGAUAACGUUAGUCACUGGACCAGCCACUCGUUCAUAGAACAUCAGCUUGCAAAACCGUAUUUCUUUUUAUUUUUGUGUCAACAACAACUGUAAAGUUUAGUCAUGGUGUGGUGCUCACUACCUGGAUGUCCAAACUACAAGGCAGCACAGGCUGCUGGGGUAACAUUUCAUUGAUUACCUUACUAAGAAGUCGAGCAGAGUCAGAUCCCAUAAACGUCUGCAGCGGCAUCAACACCAAGCCCAGCACCAGGAACUAAUACGAAUCCUGCUGCUGCUAAUGAUGAUGAACUUGACACCAGCUUGAGUAGUACAGAUCCUGUAGACCCAUUGGAUGAAAGCUUUCAGCCAGGAAUAAGCUCAACAUCAUCUGACUCGGAAGAGGAAAAGACUGCACGCGGCUGGCAUGAUCCAAAGUGUAUAGUCUACGAGUCCAAGGUCAUGGAGCUCAUGAAGUUCUGCCAGACCAUCUGCCAUUGCCCAACACAAGAUGAGGUUCACCAGCUAAAGAACAUUCAGGACGCUGCCUGGAACAUUCAGCCAACACAACAUCCAUAUUCAGUUAGACUGAUGUUGUAGUAUAAUAAAGAAUGUCUAGUAUACUCACAACUACUUUGUGGUAUAGAUAUUGCUUGUACAUAUGUAUAUCAUGGAGUUUGAUCAAUUGUUUUAUGUAAUAUUUUUUACAAGUGUACUGACAAGUGACUCAAUGAUUUCAACUGCAUCAAAAACCAAUAAAUUGUUGACUUCCACUUCUGGAUCAAUUCAUUGUGAUAUUCAUUAAAUGUACAAUACCGUUGAAACGUUUGGGGUCACUUAGAAAUGUCCUUGUUUUUGAAAGAAAAGUGAAUUUUUGGUCCAUUAAAAUAACACCAAAUUGAUCAGAAAUACAGUGUAGACAUUAUUAAUGUUGUAAAUGACUAUUGUAGCUGGAAACUUCAGAUUUCUUUUAAUGGAAUAUCUACAUAGGCGUACAAAGGCCCAUUAUCAGCAACCAUCACUCCUGUGUUCCAACGGCACGUUGUGUUACGUAUCCAAGUUGAUCCUUUUAAAAGGCUAAUUGGUCAUUAGAAAACCCUUUUGCAAUUAUGUUAGCACAGCUGAAAACUGUUGUGCUGAUUAAAAGAAGCAAUACAACUGGCCUUCUUUAGACUAGUUGAGUAUCUGGAGCAUCAGCAUUUGUGGGUUUGAUUACUGGCUCAAAAUGUCCAGAAACAAAUAACUUUCUUCUGAAACUCGUUAUUCUAUUCUUGUUCUGAGAAAUGAAAGCUAUUCCAUGCAAGAUAUUGCCAAGAAACUGAAGAUCUCGUACAACGCUGUGUACUACUCCCUACACAGAACAGCGCAAACUAGCUCUAACUAGAAUAGAAAGAGGAGUGUGAGGCCCUGGUGCACAACUGAGGAAGAGGACAAGUACAUUAGAGUGUCUAGUUUGAGAAACAGGCGCCUCACAAGUCCUCAACUGGCAGCUUCAUUAAAUAGUACCCGCAAAACACCAGUCUCAACGUCAACAGUGAAGAAUAGGCAACUCUGGGAUGCUGGCCUUCUAGGCAGAGUUCCUCUGUCCAGUGUCUGUUCUUUUGCCCAUCUUAAUCCUUUCUUUUUAUUGGCCAGUCUGAGAUAUGGCUUUUUCUUUGCAACUCUGCCUAGAAGGCCAGCAUCCUGGGGUCGCCUUUUUUGGAACCAAAAAUCUCACAUUUGGACUCAUCAGACCAAAUGACAGGUUUCCACCGGUCUAAUGUCCAUUGCUCGUGUUUCAUGGCCCAAGCAAGUCUCUUCUUCUUAUUGGUGUCCUUUAUUAGUGGUUUCUUUGCAGCAAUUCAUCCUUGAAGGUCUUUCAUGCAGUCUCCUAUAAACAGUUGAUGUUGAGAUGUGUCUGUUGCUUGAACUCUGUGAAGAAUUUAUUUGGGCUGCAAUCUGACGUGUAGUUAACUCUAAUGAACUUAUCCUCUGCAGCAGAGGUAUCUCUGGGUCUUCCUUUCCUGUGGCGGUUCUCAUGAGAGCCAUUUUCAUCAUAGCGCUUGAUGGUUUUUUGCGACUGCACUUGAAGAAACUUUCAAAGUUCUUGAAAUUUUCCGGAUUGACUGACAUUCAUGUCUUAUUGUAAUGAUGGAGUGUCAUUUUUUCUUAUUUGAGCAGUUCUUGCCAUAAUAUGGACAUGGUCUUUUACCAAAUAGGGAUAUCUUCUGUAUACCACCCCUACCUUGUCACAACACAUCUGAUUGGCUCAAACGCAUAAAGAAGGAAAGAAAUUCCACAAAUUAACUUUUAACAAGGCACACCUGUUAAUUGAAAUAUGUGGGAACUCCUUCAAGACUGUUGGCAAACCAUUCCUCAUGAAGCUAGUUGAGAGAAUGUGUGUCAUCUGUCAUCAAGGCAAAGGGUGGCUACUUUGAAGAAUCUAAAAUAUAAAUUAUAUUUAGAUUUCUUUAACACUUUUUUGGUUACUACAUGAUUAUAUAUGUGUUAU
rnacentral:lncRNA from 8 species